CUACGUGCCAGCAGCCGCGGUAAUACGUAGGGUGCGAGCGUUAAUCGGAAUUACUGGGCGUAAAGCGAGCGCAGACGGUUACUUAAGCAGGAUGUGAAAUCCCCGGGCUCAACCUGGGAACUGCGUUCUGAACUGGGUGACUAGAGUGUGUCAGAGGGAGGUAGAACUCCACGUGUAGCAGUGAAAUGCGUAGAGAUGUGGAGGAAUACCGAUGGCGAAGGCAGCCUCCUGGGAUAACACUGACGUUCAUGCUCGAAAGCGUGGGUAGCAAACAGGAUUAGAUACCCUGGUAGUCCACGCCCUAAACGAUGUCAAUUAGCUGUUGGGCAACUUGAUUGCUUAGUAGCGUAGCUAACGCGUGAAAUUGACCGCCUGGGGAGUACGGUCGCAAGAUUAAAACUCAAAGGAAUUGACGGGGACCCGCACAAGCGGUGGAUGAUGUGGAUUAAUUCGAUGCAACGCGAAGAACCUUACCUGGUCUUGACAU
rnacentral:rRNA from 1 species